rnacentral:rRNA from 11 species
AAAGAGUAACGGAGGCGCGCGAUGGUGGGCUCAGACCGGUCGGAAAUCGGUUGUUGAGUGCAAUGGCAUAAGCCUGCCUGACUGCGAGGUUGACAAACCGAGCAGAGACGAAAGUCGGUCAUAGUGAUCCGGUGGUCCCGCGUGGAAGGGCCAUCGCUCAACGGAUAAAAGGUACGCCGGGGAUAACAGGCUGAUGGUGCCCAAGAGUCCAUAUCGACGGCAGUGUUUGGCACCUCGAUGUCGGCUCAUCGCAUCCUGGGGCUGGAGAAGGUCCCAAGGGUUUGGCUGUUCGCCAAUUAAAGCGGUACGUGAGCUGGGUUUAGAACGUCGUGAGACAGUUCGGUCCCUAUCUGCCGUGGGUGUAGGAGAAUUGAGAGGAUCUGUCCCUAGUACGAGAGGACCGGGAUGGACGUACCUCUGGUGGACCGGUUGUUGCGCCAGCAGCAUAGCCGGGUAGCUAUGUAUGGUCGGGAUAAACGCUGAAAGCAUCUAAGCGUGAAACCCACCUCGAAACGAGUUCUCCCUUGAGAGCCGUGGAAGACCACCACGUUGAUAGGCCAGAUGUGGAAGCGUGGCGACACGUGAAGCUGACUGGUACUAAUUACUCGAUUGUCUUGAUC